AAAGAGAGAGAGAGAGAGAGAGAGAGAGAGAGAGGGAACUGGGGGAAAGGAAUGCGUGAGAAACAGAGAUAAUUUUGCCGCAGCCCUAGCCCUUCUGCUAAUUUCCAGCAACCACCACCUCUCGUCACCCCUCCCCUUCUCCAUCACUGCAUCCUUGCUCUGUGCCCUAGCAGAUUCAACGCCAUAAAUAAUCGAAAUUGAUGCUUCUCAAUUUCGAAUUCACCAACUGAUUGGAGCUCACGAAUUCAACUGAUGUGACGCCGAAGAAAUUGGGGAAGAAGUACCCCGCGUAGAGCAGAUUGGUGGCGGAGGAAGGGAGAGAUGGCA
rnacentral:lncRNA from 1 species